AACAUUAAUAGAUAGCCUAAGCUAAUUUCGUUAAAUGCGAUUUUAUUGAAUAAUUUUUUUUUCAUAAUUUGUGUUUUUUUAGAUUUUGAGUGGAGCGAGUAUUAAAGUAUUGGUUAUACAAUAAUGUUUAUUAAUUUUUUUUUCGCUGUGAACAACUUUUCUACCAGCAAUUUCGCUCCAAUUUACAUUGAUAGAAUAGUACAUUUUCUGAAAAGAAAUCUAACUAAGGUGAUACUUAAGU